AGCGAACGCUGGCGGCGUGCCUAACACAUGCAAGUCGAACGUGAAAGGGAGCAAUCCUGAGUAAAGUGGCGUACGGGUGAGUAACGCGUAGGUAAUCUACCCCAGAGUCUGGAAUAACCUGCCGAAAGGCGGGCUAAUACUGGAUAGAGCGACGGAAUCCGUAAUUGGGUUUUUCGGGAAAGGGAGGAAGCAAUUCCCUUCGCUCUGGGAUGAGCCUGCGUCUCAUUAGCUAGUUGGUGGGUAAAGGCCCACCAAGGCAUUGAUGAGUAGCUGGUCUGAGAGGAUGAUCAGCCACACUGGAACUGAAACACGGUCCAGACUCCUACGGGAGGCAGCAGUGGGGAAUCUUGCGCAAUGGACGAAAGUCUGACGCAGCCACGCCGCGUGAGUGAAGAA
rnacentral:rRNA from 1 species